AUGGUGGCCGAGUCAAGCGGGAGCGAGAGGAGCGAGAGGAGGGCGGCGAGCGAGGCCGGGAGAAACCCAGCAGAGGAGGAGCUGGAGGCGGCAGCACCCGACAUGGCGGCGGCGGCGCGAUCUGGUGGCGGCGGCGGCGCGAUGGAGGGGGCGGCGGCGGGGUUAGGGUUUUGCAGAAGCAUGAGUCGGAUGGGAAGAACAUGUGUGUUUGUUCAUCAUGGGGACAAAGACGCCUUUUUGAAAGGCAAUAAAGAACCGGACCCGGAUGAGCUUGACAUGGUGUUUGAUAGUAGUCCUAGCUAUGCGGAGCUCUUGCAACAAGUUAGGAAAGAUUUGAAUUGGAUGGACCCUAGUGAUAUCAUUGAGUUGGAGGGAAGGCAUAAUGUUGGUUUUGGAAUGCACAUCCGUUGGAAGACAAUGCGUGUCAACUCGGAGCAACGUUGGGUUGCAUACAAGGAGACGGUGGCAGAAUCACUAGACAAGGCUCUUGAGUUAUUUGCAACGAAGAAGGUUGAUUCAAGUUUGCAUUUGGACUUGAACCGGAACCCCUCCCCUUUGGUUGCUAGUAGCCCCCCACCCUUGAAGCGAGAUGAAAUUGUUGAACCUCUUUUGACCCAAGAAGUGAGGCCAACAUUGAGUCCGUAUAUAAACAACCAAGAUGAAUCUUUGCAAGAGGACAAUGAUGAGUAUGCGGACGAUGACAAUGAAGUUGAUCUCCAUGACAACAAUGUGGGUGAUCUCGACAAAUAUCAUUUGCAAGAGACAAUGGACCAUUCCAUCCCUUUUUCCCGUGCAUAUGCAUCGGACUCGGAUGACGAUGGUCCCGAUGAACAAAGGGGUUCACGGCCAAGCUCUCACCGUGAUUUGGUAGACGACGAGAACCGGAUUGCUAAAGGUUCUAAGUUCGACAGCUUGUUGGAAUUGAAGAUGUGGCUCGACAACUACUCGGUUACGCAUUAUCGUCCACACAAGGUGGUGAACUCGGACGUCAAUGUGCGCUACACGGUUGCAUGUGCAUGUGAAGAUGAAAAGGAGGUCCAACUUGGACUUACAAGAGGCCGUGGUGGUGGUAGAGCUCGUGGAAAGGAGGUCCAACUUGGACUUACAAGAGGUCGUGGCGGUUGUCCGUGGAUCGUGCGUGCAAGACCAUGGAAAGGAGGUCCAACUUGGCAUGUAGUGAGUUGUGUGCCAACUCACAUGUGCCAAGGCAAAAGGGUGGAUGGCAAGAUUGUGUCCCAAGACCACAAACAACUCACGUCCGAGUUCAUCGCUUACAGGCUCUCCAACUCAAUAUCCACACUUCCAACAAUGAGCGUCCAACAUGUCAUUGACCUUGUGAAAGCCAUCUUUCAUUACAAGGUGAAAUACGGCAAGGCAUGGAAGGCGAAGCAAGCCGCAUUUAAGAUGUUGUAUGGUAUGGCGGCUUCCCAACCCAACAAACCAACGAUGAAGGAGGAUGGCGAAGAUGAGAUGGCGGGAUGGUGGGAGAAGGCUGCGAAGAAGCUUAGAGAGGAGGAUGCAGCCAAGCUAAAGAAGAAGAAGGAAGAGGAGCUUGAGAAGGAGAGGAAGCGAAAACAGACUGCGGCAAAUGCGAUGCGCGCUAGGGAGCAAGCGUUGAUGACGAAAGUUGAGGAGGCACAGAAGAAGCGUCAACAGGAUUUUGAAGAAAGAACCAUGAAGCUUUGGGCAAUUGCAGCUGAAAAAGAAGAGAGGGACAAUCAGAUAUUCAUGGAGAGGGUGGUUAAGGAGGCUCACCUCAUAAGAAAAAGGGAGGAGGAAGAGGAAGAAGAGAGGAAGAAGAAGAAGGGAAAGGGGCCUUGCUCUACGCAAUAG
rnacentral:rRNA from 1 species